rnacentral:rRNA from 1 species
AGAGUUUGAUCAUGGCUCAGAAUCAACGCUGGCGGCGUGCCUCAGACAUGCAAGUCGAACGCGAAAGUCCCCUUCGGGGGAUAAGUAGAGUGGCGCACGGGUGAGUAACACGUAGGUAAUCUACCUUUGGAUGGGGAAUAACAACCGGAAACGGUUGCUAAUACCGCAUAAUGCAGCGGCACCUAAUGGUGACAGUUGUUAAAGCGGGGGAUCGAAAGACCUCGCGUCUGAAGAGGAGCCUGCGGCGGAUUAGCUAGUUGGUAAGGUAAUGGCUUACCAAGGCUACGAUCCGUAACCGGCCUGAGAGGGCGGUCGGUCACACUGACACUGACAUACGGGUCAGACUCCUACGGGAGGCAGCAGUCGGGAAUUUUGGGCAAUGGGCGAAAGCCUGACCCAGCAACGCCGCGUGAAGGAUGAAAUCCCUCGGGAUGUAAACUUCGCAAGAACGGGAAGAAUAAGUAGGGGACAAUACCCCCUAUGAUGACGGUACCGUUUGUAAGCUCCGGCUAACUCCGUGCCAGCCGCGGCGGUAAUAC